GGUGAUGCUGUUGACAGAAGAUAGAGAGCACAGAUGAUGAAAUGCAAGAAAGGAAAUGGCAUCUUACUCUUUUGUGCUCUCUAGUCUUCUUGUCAUCAUCAUU
rnacentral:pre_miRNA from 1 species